GGAGAGCCAGGCCCUGCCCGGAAAGCGACCAGGGCGCCCCCAAGCCGGACCGGCCGCACCCGGCCCGGCUCAGGUGACCAGGCGGGCGCCGGGCACACCUGGCGCCGUUUCCUGACCCCGCCCCGGCCAGGCCGCACCCCGGGAUGAUCUCUCUUGAACGGGGCCAGCGCGGCGAGCAGGGCCAUGGCGGCGGCGCCAACGGCGUGCGCCUCGCAGGGGCCCCCGCCGGGAGCGCCGGCCCCGCCGGCCGGCGCGCCAGCGUCCGCGUCCGGCCUGGGCCGCUGCCGGGUGGCGCUGCUGCUGGCCGUGGCGCUGGACGUGGCGGGCAUGGCGGCGCUGCUGACCGGCGUGUUCGCGCAGCUGCAGGUGCGCGGCCGUGACUUCGGCGACCUGCUCAUCUACUCGGGCGCGCUGCUCGUCUUCCUGAGCCUGCUCGGCUGGAUCCUCUGGUACACCGGCAACAUCGAGAUCUCGCGCCAGGAGCUCGAGCGCGACUACGGCCUGAGGCCCUCGGCGCUCGCCCGCCUGGCGCGCAAGCUCUCCCGCCGCUGGUCGGCUCCGGCCUCUGCGUCCGGGCCGCGCGCCGCGCCCGGCUCCUGGGGAGCACGCCGCGCCCCCCGCACGCCCCUGCCGCCCGCCGCCGGCUCCCGCCGCGUGCGCCUGCAGCUCUCCGCGCUCGAAGCCGGGACCGGGGCGGCGGGCGCAGGCCCGGAGUGAGCCAGGGAAAGAUGGAGCCACGCGGGGGGCACAGAGACACAGGAUGAGUAAAGGUUGGACAGGACGACGCAGAGAGUAGCCGAGACCCAGAGGACGGAGACUGAGACAGCAGGCCUGGGGGCCGACCUGGAGAGACGCAGGAAACCCAGCCCCGCAGGGACGCCUGGAGAGUCACCACUACAUGGCCCUACACCUGGCCGUCCCUCCCUGCGCUCCAGCCCGAGGCGCACCAGGCCCCGCGCAAUCCUCUCAGUGUGACCGGGUCUCUGAGGUUAUUACUCUUAUCGCCCCCAUCCCAGUGGAGGACAUGGGGGCGCAGAAAGGGGCCACCUCUUGCCCAGAUGAACCCGUGGCCCCACCUGUCAGGACUGGACUGAGAUGCGCAGCUGUCCCCAAUGUCACCUGGCCACCAGGAUGCCCACCUGCCCUCCCCUUAUCCUUCUCUGGAUAAAUGGCUCUGCCUCACAGCA